GACAGAGGGGGCAAGCGUUGCUCGGAAUCACUGGGCGUAAAGGGCGCGUAGGCGGGAUGGCAAGUCGGUCGUGAAAUCCUUCGGCUCAACCGAAGAACGUCGGCCGAUACUGCCGUUCUUGAGGGAUGCAGAGGAGAUUGGAAUUCCCGGUGUAGCGGUGAAAUGUGUAGAGAUCGGGAGGAACACCGAUGGCGAAGGCAGGUCUCUGGGCCACUACUGACGCUGAGAAGCGAAAGCAUGGGGAGCGAACAGG
rnacentral:rRNA from 1 species